rnacentral:lncRNA from 1 species
CCAGCUGUAGAUUUCAACGACAAGACUGACUGUGAAAUUCCAUGCAAUACCAACAAUGAUGUUGCUGAAUAUGUAGCAAUUGAGGAAAACCUUGAAGAACCAGCAGUUGAAGAAAAACAUGAAGAACCAACAGUUGAGGAGAAACCUGAAGAACUAGCAGUUGAAGAGAAACCCGAAAAACCAACAAUUGAGGAGAAACAUGAAGAACCAAUAGUUGAGAAGAAACCUGAAGAACCAGUAGUUGAGGAGAAACCAGAAGAACCACUAAUUGAAGAGGAGAAAUCUGAAAGGGUAACUUUCCUAGAAAAG